rnacentral:rRNA from 1 species
GUCCUUUAGUUAAAAAUAAUUUAAGGUCUAACCUGCCCAUUGAUUAAAUUAAAAGGCCGCAGUAAUUUGACUGUGCAAAGGUAGCAUAAUCAUUAGUUUUUUAAUUAAAAGCUUGUAUGAAUGGUUGGACGAGAUAAAAUCUGUCUCUUUGUAAUAAAUAGAAUUUAAUUUUUAAGUUAAAAAGCUUAAAUAUUCAUAAAAGACGAGAAGACCCUAUAGAUCUUAAUAUAAUUUUUUUUAGUAUUAAUAAAGAAAAAUUUAUUUAUUAGAAAAAAUUUUAUUUUAUUGGGGUAAUAAAAAGAUUAAUAAAAUUCUUUAUAAUUAAACAAAAAUUAUUGGUUUUUUGAUCCAUUAUUAAUGAUUAUAAGAUUAAGUUACCUUAGGGAUAACAGCGUAAUUUUUUUAGAGAGUUCAUAUCAAUAAAAAAGUUUGCGACCU